rnacentral:rRNA from 1 species
CCUACGGGGGGCAGCAGUGAGGAAUAUUGGUCAAUGGACGAGAGUCUGAACCAGCCAAGUAGCGUGAAGGAUGACUGCCCUAUGGGUUUUAAACUUCUUUUAUAUGGGAAUAAAAUGUUCCACGUGUGUGAUUUUGUAUGUACCAUAUGAAUAAAGAUCGGCUAACUCCGUGCCAUCAGCCGCGGUAAUACGGAGGAUACGAGCGUUAUCCGGAUUUGUUGGGUUUAAAGGGAGCGUAGGUGGAUGGUUAAGUAAGUUGUGAAAGUUUGCGGAUCAACCGUAAAAUUGCAGUUGAAACUGGCAGUCUUGAGUACAGUAGAGGUGGGCGGAAUGCGUGGUGUAGCGGUGAAAGGCUGAGAUAUCACGAAGAACUCCGAUUGCGAAGGCAGCUCACUGGACUGCAACUGACACUGAGGCUCGAAAGUGUGGGUAUCAAACAGGAUUAGAUACCCGGGUAGUC